UACAGAGGGUGCAAACGUUGCUCGGAAUUACUGGGCGUAAAGGGCGCGUAGGCGGCCUGCUAAGUCGGAUGUGAAAUCCCUCGGCUCAACCGAGGAACUGCAUCCGAUACUGGCGGGCUUGAAUCCGGGAGAGGGGUGUGGAAUUCCAGGUGUAGCGGUGAAAUGCGUAGAUAUCUGGAGGAACACCGGUGGCGAAGGCGGCAUCCUGGACCGGUAUUGACGCUGAGGCGCGAAAGCUAGGGGAGCAAACGGG
rnacentral:rRNA from 1 species